rnacentral:lncRNA from 1 species
GUGGUAAAUGAAAAAUGAAUGGGGAAUGUAAAAAGGUAGGGGUGUAACGUUCGUCUCCAACGGCUCCCUAACGUUCACAUGUCUGAGAGGCGUUACGCUCGUCACAAGGGUGUGACGCUCGUAACAAGAGUGUUGCGUGCCGUUCGUCAUGGAUUGUGUGACGCUCGUCACACAGUUCUUUUGGCAAGGCUUCUUCAGUAGCGCUACACAGACUUAAUUAGGAGAUAAAUAUAUUUUGAUUAUUUUGUUUUUGUUUUAUUUGGUUUUUAGAUUGUUCUAAUUAAUUUAGCUAAUUAAUUUGUAUUGCAUGCUAUUCUACUUCACAUAAUAAUAAUUCAUUCUAAGUAACAGUAGAGAACAUAGCCAUUGCAUAAAAUAAAAGCUUUAAUA